rnacentral:rRNA from 1 species
GACGAACGCUGGCGGCGUGCUUAACACAUGCAAGUCGAACGGAAAGGCCCUGCUUUUGUGGGUUGCUCGAUUGGCGAACGGGUGAGUAACACGUGUGUAACCUGCCCUUUACUUUGGGAUAACUUCAGUAAACUGGGGCUAAUACCGGAUAGGAUCUCCUGCUGCAUGUUGGGGGUUGGAUAGUUUCGGCGGUUGGGGAUGUACUCGCGGCUUAUCAGCUUGUUGGUUGGGUAGUGUCUUACCAAGGCUUUGACGGGUAGCCGGCCUGAGAGGGUGACCGGCAAAAUGGGGAAUGAGAUACGGACCAGAAUACUAAGGGAGGCAGCAGUGGGGAAGAUUGAAAAAUGGGAGGAAGCCUGAUGCAGAAAAGAAGAGUGCGGGAUGAAGGACUUCGGGUUGUAAACAGAUUUCGCCUGUGAAGAAGAGUGAGUGACGGUAAUGGGUAAAGAAGAAACGGCUAACUACGUG